AUUGAACGCUGGCGGCAUGCCUUACACAUGCAAGUCGAACGGUAACGGGCCUUCGGGUGCCGACGAGUGGCGAACGGGUGAGUAAUACAUCGGAACGUGCCCGAUCGUGGGGGAUAACGAGGCGAAAGCUUUGCUAAUACCGCAUACGAUCUACGGAUGAAAGCAGGGGACCGCAAGGCCUUGCGCGGACGGAGCGGCCGAUGGCAGAUUAGGUAGUCGGUGGGAUAAAAGCUUACCAAGCCGACGAUCUGUAGCUGGUCUGAGAGGAUGAUCAGCCACACUGGGACUGAGACACGGCCCAGACUCCUACGGGAGGCAGCAGUGGGGAAUUUUGGACAAUGGGCGCAAGCCUGAUCCAGCCAUGCCGCGUGCAGGAUGAAGGCCUUCGGGUUGUAAACUGCUUUUGUACGGAACGAAAAGCCUUCUUUUAAUACAGGAGGGUCAUGACGGUACCGUAAGAAUAAGCACCGGCUAACUACGUG
rnacentral:rRNA from 1 species